GCAGGCAGCCCAUCCACACACCUGCGCUGUGCCAGCCUCCCUCAUGCUCUACCCUGCGUUUCUCUAAAAUCAGCAUGAGACGGUCUGAUCUGGGCUGGGUUGCGUAGCCCAACUGUACCUGCCACAUGCCCAUCCUCAGGGUGGCUCUCCACUGAGCACUAUGAAUAGAAACUUAGCAAACGAGAGAUAAGCAGUCGGCUUUGGCACAUGCCACACUCCUAGCAGCACUUUGGGGUUGCCAUGGAAACAGGGACAAGUACAGCUUACGCUGCCCCGACAUCUUCCUAUCAUGCCCACUCAAGAUCAUUAACAUUGCAUGUUUAUUUCCUAACCUCCAUGACAGAUUUCUGCGUUGGUUCACCUCUGAUCACGCUGUCCAGGCCUGAGUGCCCAUCUGGAGGCCACACGGUCCAUCAACCCAAUCUCCUAUAUAAACCCGGUCAAGAGGAGAAUUGAUCUAUCGCUCCAGACUGGUGAGGAAUUACUUUGCCAAUCCCUGUGUGACGAAGCUUUCCCAGCAGGCUCAAUGCUAAGGCCGAUAGAUUUUGGAAAGUCUUGAGAGGGGGAGCGAGUGCCACGUGUUCCAUCCAGGCAUCUCCAAAUUAAUUAUUCACAUUAAUGGGAUGCGUCGGGUGGCUUUUAUUUGCUGAACAUCAAAGCAGGGUCACUGGGUUUGGUUAUUGCUAAAAAUGAUGACAAAUAGGCAGGAUAGAAAGUGAAUAAACUGUCAUGUUUUACAUGGACACAUUAUUGUGCACACUUCAAUGCCAGUUCAAUCUCUUCUUCAUGAAUAAAAAGACAUGUGCAUCUGCGGAGUAUUAUAAUUGUGGUCAUU
rnacentral:lncRNA from 1 species